GAAGCCCCAGUGAACGGCGGCCGUAACUAUAACGGUCCUAAGGUAGCGAAAUUCCUUGUCAGGUAAGUUCUGACCCGCACGAAAGGCGUAACGAUUUGGGCGCUGUCUCAGCUGUAGACUCGGUGAAGUCUUAGUACCUGUGAAGAUGCAGGUUACCCGCGACUAGACGGAAAGACCCCAUGGAGCUUUACUGUAGCUUGAUAUUGGACUUUGAUGCAAGAUGUACAGGAUAGGUAGGAGACUGAGAGACAUGCACGCCAGUGUGUGAGGAGUCAAUGUUGGGAUACUACUCUUCUUGUAUUGGAGUUCUAACCGGAUGCCAUGGAACUGGCAACGGGACAGUGUCAGGUGGGCAGUUUGACUGGGGCGGUCGCCUCCCAAAGAGUAACGGAGGCGCCCAAAGAUACCCUCAGCUUGGAUGGAAAUCAAGCGCAGAGUGCAAAGGCAUAAGGGUGUUUGACUGCGAGACCUACAAGUCGAGCAGGGACGAAAGUCGGGCUUAGUGAUCCGGCGGUGCUGAAUGGAAAGGCCGUCGCUCAACGGAUAAAAGCUACCCUGGGGAUAACAGGCUGAUCUCCCCCAAGAGUUCACAUCGACGGGGAGGUUUGGCACCUCGAUGUCGGCUCAUCGCAUCCUGGAGCUGAAGUCGGUUCCAAGGGUUGGGCUGUUCGCCCAUUAAAGCGGUACGCGAGCUGGGUUCAGAACGUCGUGAGACAGUUCGGUCCCUAUCUGUCGUGGGCGUAGGAAGUUUGAGAAGAUCUGUCCUCAGUACGAGAGGACCGGGAUGGACAUAUCAAUGGUGCACCAGUUGUCACGCCAGUGGCACAGCUGGGUAGCUAAAUAUGGAAGGGAUAAACGCUGAAGGCAUCUAAGUGUGAAACCCACUUCAAGAUGAGACUUCCCAUUACGCAAGUAAGUAAGACCCCUUAAAGACGAUAAGGUUGAUAGGUCAGGAGUGUAAGCAUGGCGACAUGUUCAGCGGACUGAUACUAAUAGGUCGAGGACUUAACCU
rnacentral:rRNA from 1 species